GAAUAUAAUAACUAUUACUGAAUGAUCACAUGAGAAAAACCCCUCUACUGUUAAAAGUGAGGGGAUUUGGCCAUAUUCUUGUAAGAAGAUUUUCAAGAUGUUGAUGAAGAAUUGCAACAGAUUCAGCUUCCCUCGGUGCUGCCUUGAGAGCCGCUCAUGGUUGGUUGUGCAACCAGAAGGGAAAAUUUGUACCCAUCUCUGAUAUGUAUAUAAGGAAAUUGGAGGAGACAUCCCUAAGUUGCAAGCUUGCGGUGCCUGCUGCAGAUCAAGACCUUGUUGACA
rnacentral:misc_RNA from 1 species